rnacentral:lncRNA from 1 species
UUUAUUAUCCCAAAGUAAAUUUGCAUUAAAAGCAUAGAUAGAUAAGAUUCUACAACUCUAAUAUUUGUACUUUUGCCAUUACAUAAACCAACAAAUGUACAAAAGUUAGAAAUGUCUCAGACAUUUUUUGCCAUUACAUAAACAAAAAACCAGACUACGCAUAAACUAACUUAUAAAUUUCAUGUCAACAAGAAAAAGAAAAAAGACUUCCACUUUAUUACGCAACCAUUCAUUCUACACAGGAAUAUUUUGUGCUCAGACAGAACUUUCACGUGCAGAACAGCGAGAGCCAAUUCAUAAAUCACGUGACUAGCAACCAUAGUAAUAAUGUAGUUGCUUCUCGGAACCUGUACUAGUGGUGUCGGUCCUCGUAGAGAAGACUCCAUUCCAGAUCUCAGUGAAAGCUCUAAUAANN